UACGGGGGGGGCAAGCGUUGUUCGGAAUUACUGGGCGUAAAGGGCUCGUAGGCGGCCAACUAAGUCGGACGUGAAAUCCCUCGGCUUAACCGGGGAACUGCUUCCGAUACUGGAUGGCUUGAGUGUGGGAGAGGGAUGCGGAAUUCCAGGUGUAGCGGUGAAAUGCGUAGAUAUCGGGAAGAACACCAGUGGCGAAGGCGACGUGCUGGUCUGCACCUGACGCUGAGAUGCGAAAGCUAGGGGAGCAAACAGG
rnacentral:rRNA from 1 species